rnacentral:tRNA from 1 species
AGCGGUUUAGAGGAGUAGUACCUCGCCAGUCUCAUAAGCUGGAGACCCUAGUGCAAUUCUAGGAACCGCAAC